rnacentral:rRNA from 1 species
AUGAACGCUGGCAGCGUGCCUAAUACAUGCAAGUCGAGCGAACAGACGAGGAGCUUGCUCCUCUGACGUUAGCGGCGGACGGGUGAGUAACACGUGGAUAACCUACCUAUAAGACUGGGAUAACUUCGGGAAACCGGAGCUAAUACCGGAUAAUAUAUUGAACCGCAUGGUUCAAUAGUGAAAGACGGUUUUGCUGUCACUUAUAGAUGGAUCCGCGCCGCAUUAGCUAGUUGGUAAGGUAACGGCUUACCAAGGCAACGAUGCGUAGCCGACCUGAGAGGGUGAUCGGCCUCACUGGAACUGAGACACGGUCCAGACUCCUACGGGAGGCAGCAGUAGGGAAUCUUCCGCAAAGGGCGAAAGCCUGACGGAGCAACGCCGCGUGAGUGAUGAAGGUCUUCGGAUCGUAAAACUCUGUUAUUAGGGAAGAACAAAUGUGUAAGUAACUAUGCACGUCUUGACGGUACCUAAUCAGAAAGCCACGGCUAACUACGUG